UGGGGAAUAUUGCACAAUGGGCGCAAGCCUGAUGCAGCCAUGCCGCGUGUAUGAAGAAGGCCUUCGGGUUGUAAAGUACUUUCAGCGGGGAGGAAGGGAGUAAAGUUAAUACCUUUGCUCAUUGACGUUACCCGCAGAAGAAGCACCGGCUAACUCCGUGCCAGCAGCCGCGGUAAUACGGAGGGAGCAAGCGUUAAUCGGAAUUACUGGGCGUAAAGCGCACGCAGGCGGUUUGUUAAGUCAGAUGUGAAAUCCCCGGGCUCAACCUGGGAACUGCAUCUGAUACUGGCAAGCUUGAGUCUCGUAGAGGGGGGUAGAAUUCCAGGUGUAGCGGUGAAAUGCGUAGAGAUCUGGAGGAAUACCGGUGGCGAAGGCGGCCCCCUGGACGAAGACUGACGCUCAGGUGCGAAAGCGUGGGGAGCAAACAGG
rnacentral:rRNA from 1 species